rnacentral:rRNA from 1 species
UACGUAGGUGACCAGCGUUGUCCGGAUUUACUGGGCGUAAAGGGCGCGUAGGCGGCGCGGUAAGUCACUUGUGAAAUCUCUGAGCUUAACUCAGAACGGCCAAGUGAUACUGCAGUGCUAGAGUGCAGAAAGGGCAAUCGGAAUUCUUGGUGUAGCGGUGAAAUGCGUAGAUAUCAAGAGGAACACCUGAGGCGAAGGCGGGUUGCUAGGCUGACACUGACGCUGAGUGCGCGAAAGCCAGGGGAGCAAACGGG